GACUCCUUGUUGUAGCAUGGCGAUGCUAAGAACCUCUUUGCGGAGUUUUCUCUCCUUCCCAACUCGAGCGGCUGCAGUCAGAGCUAGUUCUUGGUGGUCUGGAGUUGAGGUGGGCCCUCCUGAUCCAAUAUUCGGCCUCCUGGAGGCGUACAAUAAAGAUGAGAGGACGAACAAAGUUAAUUUGACUGUGGGGGCGUACAGGGAUGACCAGGGGAAGCCAUAUGUACUGAAUGUAGUCAAACAAAUUGAGAGGGACAAUUUAGAUAAAUACAAAGAGAAGGAGUAUGCUGGUAUCCUGGGGUAUCCUUCCUUCCACAGAGCUGCCAUUGAAUUUGCACUGACACCUCAAGAAAAACACGUCAAAGAGAAUCUGUAUGUGUCAGCUCAAGCCAUUGGUGGUACUGGAGCAUUGAGGAUCAUUGCUUUAUUCCUUGCAAAGUUCUUUCCCCAUCAGAAGACUAUAUAUGUACCAGCACCUACCUGGGGUAAUCAUGCACCAGUGUUCAGGAGUUCUGGUUUGAAUGUUGAGACUUAUCGUCAUUUCAAGCCUGAGACCUGUGGGUUUGACUCUGAAGCUUGCUAUGAAGACCUGAGGAAAAUACCUGAUAACUCUCUUAUCUUGUUUCAUGCUUGCGGUCACAAUCCAACUGGGAUUGAUCCUACGUUAGAUGAAUGGUCCCAGUUAUCAAAGAUAUGUAAGGAGAAGAACCAUUACGUAUUCAUGGAUAUGGCCUAUCAAGGAUUCUCUACUGGUGAUCUUGAUAGAGAUGCAUCAGCUCUUAGGCUGUUUGUACGUGAUGGACACCAACUGUCAUACGCUCAAUCAUUCUCUAAGAACAUGGGACUAUACGGUGAGAGAGUUGGUGCUGUUACUAUAUUGUGUGAUACACCAGAAGAGAAGGCAGCACUUGAGUCACAGCUAAAGAUUAUAGUCCGUCCAAUGUACUCCAACCCACCAAUCAAUGGGGCUAGGAUUGCUACUGAGAUACUCACCAAUGAGAAUUACAGAUCACAAUGGUUGGUUGAAAUGAAGGGUAUGGCUGACCGUAUCACUAGCAUGAGAACAUCACUGAAAGAAGCACUAGCUAAACAUAGUUCAACUCUGGACUGGUCACAUGUCACUAAACAGAUUGGUAUGUUCUGCUUCAGUGGACUCUCAGCUGAAAAGGCUGUUAACAUUUGGCCCACUCUUAGCUGUUCCAGUUUGUGCACAGACUAAACCCAAGUUCAUCCUUUGUACUGAGUUGCUUUUGAGAUUGCUUUCAGUUUAUUAAAUUAUAAUCAAUGGCAGCACUAGUGCCACUGCCACCAGAUGACAGUUCAAGACUUGACUAUUAUGGGGCAUUUUCUCAUGCAAUUGAUGUGAAAGAUCUCAAACCUGGUGACCAUAUUUACUGUCAUAAAAGUCCAUUCUUCUUCUACAGUCAUCAUGGUAUUUAUAUUGGUGAGCCUGACUGUGAGGUGAUUCACUUUAGUGGUACAUCAGACUCCAAGCUUGGGUCACAGUCAUCUUCAGAUUCGUCCUUGGAUGAUGAAACAAGGCAGUUGCUACAAGAGCUUCAAACAUUACCAAAAGAUUCCGAAAGAGCUAAAGAAAUUGAGAAGAAAUUAAAAAUAUGCAUCAAAUCAACUACUCUGGCUGAAUUUCUGAAUGGCUCUACACUUCGCUUAGUCGCAUAUGGCUGCAGUGGAUUCAAGCAUUCUGUUUCAUUGGUUAGUAGUCACUCUGUCAAGGCAAUGCCUCCUUCAGAAACAGUUAAGUUGGCCAAACAUUUCCAUGAUCAUUCAGAAGAGUGGAAUGAGUAUCACCUCUCGUAUAACAAUUGCGAAACAUUUGCAACAUUCUGCAAAACAGGCCGGUUAGAUUUAGCAGCACAGCUUUACCAAAUUGUGAGAAAUGUAGCUUUUGAACGAAAUAUAGGGCCAACAUGUCAGACAGCUGAAGAAGCCUUGAUAAAAUAUCAGGUGGAAGAUGAUUCAGCAAUCAGAGUUGGAGUAACAUCUCAUGCAAUUGAUAAAGAGCGUCUUAAGCCUGGUGAUCAGAUUUAUUGUUAUAGAAACAUCUGCACUCACCAUGGUAUUUAUAUUGGUGAGCCUGAUUGUGAGGUGAUUCACUUUAGUGGUGCAUCACGCAUCAAUUCAACUACUCUGGCUGAAUUUCAGUAUGGCUCUACACUUCGCUUAGUUGCAUAUGGUUACAGUGGAAUCAAGCAUCUAUUUGCCAUUGUUAGUAGUCACUACAUAAAGGCAAUGCCUCCUUCAGAAACAGUUAAGUUAGCAAAACAUUUUCGCGAUCAUGCAGAAGAGUGGGGGGAAUAUCACCUCAAGCAUAACAACAGCGAAAGGUUUGCUUGCUUCUGCAAAACAGGCCUGUUGGAUAUAGCAGCACAGUUUCAUCAGUUUGAGAGAAGCGUGUUUACUGAAAGGCGUAAAGAACCAUGUAAAACAUCUGAAGAAGCACUGGAAAAAUAUCGUGAGAGGAAUUGAACCUUGAUGCUGCUACAAAACUCAAUGCACUGCUGUGUGAACAUUAGUACUUUAGUGUGUGAUCUUUAGUAGCUAUAUUUAGUCAUUUUUUA